rnacentral:lncRNA from 1 species
AAUUAAUGCCUCUUUUUCAGGCACACUCUUCCUAUGAUCCUGGAUGAUUCCAAAUGCAUGGGUCCACAAAUAUCUCCAAGAACCUGCACUGACCCCUUAUCUCUGUGCUUUGUCCAGCCUGGAUUUUUAUUCACUCAUGGUGACAGUAACAGUAUGAAGAAGGGAAUUCUUUGAGACAGAAGGAGCCCACUCCUCUCAUGGGGAUAAUUAAACACCAGCUGCUGGUGAAUGGCUGCAGCUUUCCCACUUCACACACUGAAGCACAGGCUGGGGAGAAUUGAAGUGAACUGACCAGACAACCAUAUGAAGACUCUUCUUAGUCUUGUCUUUAUCCAGGUUGUGCUUUGAUUUUGCUACAGACUUUUGCUAUGCAAUUUUCUGACACACUGAGAGGUUCGUCUGCUUUUUACUGACCUCUCUAUCCAUUGCAGAAUGCAGCGACUGUUGCUUGCUCAAGCAACAAAAAACAGAUGGAAUUUAUUCCCUUCCCCCUUGCAUUGCUGCUAUUCACACAAUGUUUAAAUGAUACCAUUUUUAAAAUUCUGUAAAACUGGAGAACUACAAGACUUAACGUAAUUGCUACAUUAUCUAGGUCUGACAGCUCUCUCAUUGUACAUUCC